rnacentral:lncRNA from 1 species
AGCUACAGACAUUUUCUUGUGUUUUUCUUUAUACUAAUAUAGGCAAGAGAGGACAUGCCACACACAGGCUGUGAGAUGUCAGCUGUAGGCUCUCUGAAUGGCCAAUAAAGAGCUGGAAAGAAGAGAGAUGGGAUUGCCACACGCAUCAUGUAAAUGAGUUCACGGGCUUAGCCCAGUGCAGCCCUUGGCUCAUGAUAAGACCUGCCUACUGUGUCACUUGACUGCCAAGCAGGGUAUCUUCACCCUGGGUUAACAGGAAGCACCUAAGAACUGAUGUCUUCUUACAGUGGAAGAGGGUCUUGCACCAGGAUGUGUGGCUCUGCACUGAUCUGGUGAAGCCCCAUUGCUCUCUGUCUUGAUUCUCUGGGUUUUGAAGUCAUGGAUUACUCGUUUGUUGUUGUUGCUGCUUCUAAACUCAUUUAACUCUCCUUAAAUUCUCUUAAAGGGGAUUUAUUGGACAAAUACUGGAGGAUCUCAAGACUCCAAGGCCAAGAACUAGAGCUUGAGCUUCAUGAAGGCUGAAACUAGGAAAUGGGUAGUAGUUAUUUCAUUCUCACUUUUCUCUCUCACUUGGGGCCACCUCAACUCUCCACUUCUUUCUUCAGGUUAAUCCACGCUUCUUUUUGUCUGUAGACCAACUUUUACUUCUUUGGCAUGAGCACAGACAGACAUGGCUGCCACAAAAUGGCAGACUUUGCCCCCCCAGUUCAAAGGGGGAGACUUGAGGAUGUCUCAGCUCCCAACACCUGGUAGAGAAGCUGAGCAGGGUAGGUUGGGUCAGUUGUGAGCUAGGCUGUGAGUCGUGUGAUACCACCAUUACUGCCACAGUUCAUUUCAUGAAGUAGGGACUUCCUCUGUUGAGAAAAAUUAGCAUCAUAUUGGAGUGUUGUUUAACCACUGAAGGGUUCUUUAAUUAUCUAGCGGAAUGUAUCUUUAUAUGAUUCACUUUACAUUACUGAUCGAAGGCCCAGACUCUGAGAAAUUACAUGAUAACUUACAGAUUUUCAUCUGAUAGAUAUUCAAAUGAGUUAUAUCUGGUAGAAAAUAUAACCGAAGAUUAUGGUUUAACUGCCCAUAAGCAUGUUUACUAGUUUUGUACCUAACCUAGUGAUCUUAUCCCAACAUUUCUUUCUUUAAUGACUGUAUAUUCCUGCAACCUGUACUUCUCCUUUGAAUGACCCCCACUAUCCUGCUGAUUUCCUCAGAAAUGAAUUGGACAAAUCUUGAUGUAUGUUUUAUUUUGUAUUUGUACAAGAGUCAUGUUGUUAGCUUUUUGAAUAUUAUAUUUUUCUAGUUUUCAGAAAAAAGGGGAGGAGGAUUGGGUUGAUACUUUAGAGGUAUCUACUAUAACUUCUGUUUUGGUUCCUAUGAAUUUCCCUUUCCUUCCUUCCUUCCUUCCUUCCUUUCUUUCUUUCUUUCAUUUUUUGCUUUUUAGGACCACACCUGUGGCAUAUGGAAGUUCCCAGGCUAGGGGUUGAAUUGGAGCUACAGCUGCUGGCCUAGACCACAACAAUGCCAGAUCCGAGCCACAUCUGUGACCUACACCACAGCUCACAGCAACGCUGGAUCCCUAACCCACUGAGUGAGACCAGGGAAUGAAUGUACAUCCUCAUGGAUACCAGUCAGUUUUGUUUCCACUGCGCCAUAACAAUGGGAGCUCCCUGAAUUUCCUUUUUUUUUGGUCUUUUUUUCUUUUUAGGUCUGCACCCAUGGCAUAUGGAGGGUCCCAGGCUGGAGGUCCAAUUGGAACUGUAGCUGCCAGCCUACACCACAGCCCUAGCAAUGCCAGAUCUGAGCUGUGUCUGCAACCUACACCAUAGUUCACGGCAACACUGAAUCCUUAACCCACUGAGUGAGGCCAGGGAUCGAACCCAAAACCUAUGGUUCCUAGUCAGAUUCAUUUCCACUGAUGGGAAUUCCUGAAUUUCCUAUUUUUUGAUGGCUUUCAUAACAUUUUAGCAAUGAGCUGGUCUUUUGCUGUAGUGAGAAUCUGCUGCUAGUAUACUUUUUCAGUUUUUGCUGCUCUGAAGUAUAUUUGUUUCAUCCUUGUACCUGAAAGGAACUAUCAUUGGAGAUACAGUCUAAGUUGACUCUUAGGUUUUUGAAAAUUUUAUUGUUCUGUCUCUGGCUUCAUUUGUUGCUAUUGAGAAGUCAGAAAUAAAUGUAAUAGUUAUUAUAUCAUAGGUAGUUUUUUUUUCCUCUCUGGUUGCUUUUAAGAUCUUUCUUUUCCCUUUGGCCUUUUUUUUUUUCUUUGAUAGUUUAACCAAUGAAUUUUAUUGAAUUUUCAAAGAACCCAGAUUAUUCUAAAAUUUUGUGAAUUCUUCCAGAGAAUAGAAAAAGAGAUAACAAAUAACUAAUUUGUAAGGUCAGUAUAACUCUAAUACCAAAACCAGAAAGAUAGAAAGAGAAAAAUUUUAGUUCAACCUCACAAAUGGAAAUAGAUGAAAAAUCACUAAACAGAAAUAUUGGGAACUGAAUAACAUAAUAUAUAAAAAAAUACAUCGAGAACAAAUUAAUUUUUUCCAGGAACAGAAGAAGGCUUAACAUUAUAAAAGCCAUGAAUGUAAAAUACCAUAUUUGCUUAUUAAAAGGUAAAACCAUAUUGUCAUUGCAAUACCUUUGCUCUUCUUCAAAUAAAGAAUCUUAAUGUGAAUUUCUAAAAUGUACACCUCUUGGAAUUCAUAGGGUUUCUUGGUUCUGAGAAUUCGUGGUUUUCACCAACUCUCUGAAAAAUUCAGUUAAUGUCUCUUCAAAUAUUACUUCUUCUCAAUAUUUGCUUUAUUUCUUUCCAUAAUUCCAAUUAUAUGUUAAAUAGUCUUUCUCUUUUACAUCAUAUAACUUCUACUUAAUCAUCUUUCUUCCCCUUAUAUGCUGUAUUCUGGAUAAUUUCUCCAAAUCUAUCUUCCAGUUUACUAAUUCUUUUUUUAGUAGUGGGUAAUAUUCUUUUUUGCUCAAUAAGUAUAUGAAAAUGUGUUCAACAACAUUAUAAGCAGGAAGAUGCAAAUGGAAAUUAUUACCUUCUCAUCAGAAUGGCUAAAAUUGAGAAGAAAGACAGUUCCAAAUGUUGUUAAGUCUGUAGAGCAGUAGUUACACUGCUGGUGGGAAUGUAAUUUGGUGCAACACUUUUAGGAAACAUCAGUUGUUGUCAUUUACUCAUAUUGAAGCUCCUCAUACCCUUUGAGCUAGUAUUCUGCUGAUAGAUGUAUAAUUAACAGAAAUACAGGUGCAUAUUCACUCAAAGACUUCCACGAUUGUUCAUAGAAACAUUAUUCAUAAUAGCCCCAAACUAUCAAUAACUCAUAUGUCCCUUAAGAGUAGAAUGAUAGGAGUUCCCAUCAUGGCUCAGUGGUUAAUGAACCAGACUAGUAUCCGUGAGGAUGUGGGUUCAAUCCCUGGCCUCACUCAGUAUGUCAAGGAUCCAGCGUUGCUGUGAGCCAUGGUGUAGGCUGGCAGCUAUAGCUCUGAUUCAACCCCUAGCCUGGAAACCUCCAUAUGCCUUGGGUGUGGCCCUGAAAAGACAAAAGACAAAAAAAAAAAGUGUAGAAUGAUAAUUACAUCAUGAUAUAUUUAUAUGAUGGAGAAUUAAUUAUAAGCAAUUAUAACAAACUCUAGUUAUAAAUAAUUGUGUGGAUGCAUCUCACAAGCCUAAUAUUGAGUGAGAAGAUUCAAAAGAAUAUGGUCUGUAUGAGUCCAUUUAUAAACAAAUGGAAAACCAAAACGGUUUGACAAAACUAAACCCUCGUGUUUAGGGGCAAACACUUUGGAGUUAAAGUAUGAAAAUAGGAAAAGAUAGGCAUAAAAGCCAGAGUAACAGUUAGCUUUGGGGAAGGUGGGAUAGUAUAGUGACUAGGAAGUGAUGCUUAGGGGGUUCCUGGGGUACAAGUAAUAAAAUUCUAUAUUUUGGUAUAGUUGGGGGUUACAUGAGUGUUAACUUGGUAAAAAAAUCACUGAACUGUAUACUGCUUUGUGAAAAAUAAAAUACAUACUUUGAUUUGUAAAUAAUGAAAAUAUUACAUAUCUUUUUUUUUUUUUCUUUUUAGGGCCAUGCCCAUGGCAUAUAGAAGUUCCUAGGCUAGGAGUCAAAUCAGAGCUAUAGAUGCCUGCCUACAUCACAGCCACAGCAACAUGGGAUACGAGCUGUGUCUGCAACCUACACCACAGCUCACGGUAAUGCCAGAUCCUUAACCCCCUGAGUAAGGCCAGGAAUCAAACCCACAUCUUCAUGGAUCCUAGUCAGGUUUGUUAACUGCCGAGCCACAAAAGGAACUCCACAUAUCUAAAUUUGUAAGAUGCAGCUAAGAUGGUAUUUGGAGGGAAAUUCAUAGCUUUAAAUGCUUUUGUUACAAGUGGCUAAAGUCAAGGAAUCAAGCCUUCAAUAUAAGAAGUUAGUAAAAGAAUAUUAAAAUAGUUCAAAGAAAGUAGAAUAAAGAAAACAACAAAGAUUUGAGAAGAAAUUAAUGAAGUAGUAAACAAAUAUAGAAUAAAAUAUAGGAUAAAAUGAUGAUCAAUACAAAGAGUUUGUUCUUUAAUAUGACUAAUUAACAAACUCCCAGGAAAACUGAUGAGACAAAGAAAUAAAUGGAAACAAUUAGAUAGGAGGAAUAGGCAUUCCUUUCGUGGCUCAUCGGAGAUGAAUCUUACUGGCAUUCAUGAGGACAUAGGUUCAAUCCCUGGCCUCGCUUAGUGGGUUAAGGAUCCGGCAUUGCCCGGAGCUGUGAUGUAGGUCACAGACACGGCUCAGAUCCUGUGUUACUGUGGCUGUGGCUCUGAUUCCACCCUCUGGGAACCACCAUAUGCUGCAGGUGUGGCCCUAAAAAGACACACAAACAAAAAAAUAGAUAUGAGGAAUAAAAAGGGGAAUAUGUAGCAGAUACAGUGGAAAUUCAAGAUAAUAAGAGAAUAUAUACCAAAUUUAUACCAGUAGAACUUAGGUGAAAUGGAUAAGUUAGUGGGACGAUAUCACUUCUUGAGACUGACUUAAAAGUAAAAGAAAAAUUAAAUAGUUCUAUAAUCAUUGAAUUAGUGAUAGAGAAACUUCCCACUAGGAAAAUACCAGCCCUACUUUUGUGAGUAGGUUUUACCAGAUUUAAAGAAAUAAGAUUAUUAAAAUAUUAUACAAACUCUUAGAACAGAAAAAGAGAGAACACUCCCCAGCUUGAUUUAUGAAGCUAGUAAAAAAUCUUAUACCAGGAGUUCCCAUCAUGACGCAGUGGAAGUGAAUCCGACUAGGAACCAUGAGGUCGCAGGUGCAGUCCUUGGCCUUGCUCUGUGGUUAAGGAUCUGGCAUUGCUGUGAGUUGUGGUGUAGGUUGCAGAUGAGGCUUGGAUCCCGAGUUGCUGCAGCUGUGGAAUAGGUCGGCAGCUGUAGCUCUGAUUGGACCCCUGGCCUGGGAACCUCCAUUGCUGAGGCCGUGCUCCCUCCCC